ensembl:lncRNA
UUUUCUUUUUUUGUCUGAGCCCAUGGCAUAUGACGUUCCCAGGCCAGGGAUCAAACCCAAGCCAAGUUAAGACCUAUGUUGGAGCCUCGACCCACUGGGCCAAGCCAGGGAUCAACGCCACACUGCCCAGAGACAACCCAGGCCCUUAACCCCUAUGCCACAGCGGGAACUCCUAUGUAUUUUUCAAAAGCAAGCUUUCAGUGUUACAAAGAAAAGGCAUAAUACAGCCAUCACGCUGCACUGCUUAUUAACCGACGCAGUGCAAACUCAUGAACUUGGGGUGACAAUUCUGUAAGCUAGCUGUAAGCUCCCUCUCUCUCUGAUUUCCCCCUCGACACGACGCCCUGCUCCAGACAGGUUGCCCUGUUCCCUGCUCCCACGCCCAGGAGCUCUCCCUUCUGGACGGUCCCUGACCCUCCAUUACCCUCUGUGCCACCAGCGCCACCUCGUCCAUCUCGGUCUGCCUUCCUCUCUCCCUCCCUCCGUCCGUCUGUCUGUCUAUCCGUCUGGCAGCACUGCCGUUUUUAAAGCCCCCACUGUCACCGUUUUUGCCCAUAAACGCACCCUCUGGGCAGAACCCCAGUCUGAGGGCCCGGCCUAGCCCAGGGCUCAGGGACGUGACACUACAUUUCACAGCCUGACAACUCAUUUCCAAGAGCCCCUUCUUUCGACCCACUGGUACCCCACCCAGGACAUGCAGGCUGAUGUUAGCUCGUGAAACAAGUCCCCGUAGCUUAAAAUAGGAUGGAGCCAGAACAGCGGGCCUCUGCCGCAGCCACAAAGAAGCAUGCCUGCACCCCAGCUCCUCCAGGGGUACCAGGCUCCUGGCCACAGAAGGCAGGGGUGGGAGGGGCCCCAACCGGUCUCUGCCAACCCCAGGUUCGGUCUCGCCUCCUCCGCACGGGGACGACGGGCCCCCAUGCCCACAGGCUCUACUCACAUCUAUCCGUGCCCUCAAGGUCAAAACUGGCCCCAAGCCAGCUCAAGCCCCCUCUCAGGACAAGGCCUUUCUCUGCCACUUCCUUCUUCUUUCCUAAGAGAAUUUUUAUCUUCUUCCUGAGAUUGGCCAUAAAGCACACAAGCAGCUUUAGAUCCCACAAGCACCCACCCAGCACAUCACCCCCCACCCGCCCCCGUCUUGCACCCCCUCCCAGGCCAAACACGCGCACGACUUCUGGGUUUUAUGCUACAUCUGCCUCGCGCGGAUCCUGGGGGCCCCGGGUCCCCCAACUUCGGGUGUUGUGUUUUAGUUCUGAUUGUGCUCAUGGACCCCUGGCUUCCACACACACGUCUCCCCGCCCCACUUCCAACACCCUCUGAUAGACCAGUGAGUAUAAAAUCGUGGGUCUGGGGAGUUCCCAUCAUGGCGCAGGAGAAAUGAAUCCAACUCAUAUCCAUGAGGAUGCAGGUUCGAUCCCUGGCCUCACUCAGUGGGUUAAGAAUGUGGUGUUGCAGGCCGGUGGCUGCAGCUCAGAUUUGACCCCUAGCCUGGGAAGCUCCAUGUGCUGCAGGUGCGGCCCUGAAAAGCAAAAAAAAAAAAAAAAGCUCUGAGAAUAUUAACUGCUUGCCUAAAAAACUAUAUGAUGGAUAUAUUUAUUUUCUAGUAUAAGUUUUUUUAAAGGUAAUCGGUUAUUUCUAAUAUCUCCUUAGUUUGUGCUUGUGUGUGAAUUUUGUUUAUUGCUGUGUUAUAUUUUGUCGUGUUUUAUGUACAUUGUAGAUUUGUUGUGUGGUUGCAGGUCUUGUGUUGCUGUUGGUGUGUAGAUUUUGUUGUGUUCUGUGUAGCUCAUUGUGUUGUUCCUACAUAGAUUUUGCUGUGUGCCGCUUUGUGUAGGUUUUAUACUACUUGUGUGUAGAUUUAGUGUUGUGUUGUUUGUUCAGAUCUUGCUGUUUGCAUGUAGAUUUUGUGGUGUGCUGUUUUGUGCCGGUCUUGUUCGUGUGUAGAUUUUGUUGUUUUGUGCAGGUCUUGUGCUGUUUGUGUGUAAAUUCUGUUGUGUUGUUUUGUGCAGCUCUUGUGCUGUCUGUGUGCAAAUUCUGUGGGGUGUUGUUUCUGCUGUUUGCGUGGAGGUGUUGUGGUUGUGUGCACGUGUGCAGAUUCUCCUGGUGGCAGCAGUGUUGGGGAGGGUACCCCUGCUACAUCUUCCCGCAUGCACAGCAGCUUCUCUUUCGCCCCAGGUUCCGGGGGUCAGGUGGUGGUGUCCCGGGGGCUCCCCCGCGCUGCAGGAGUGGCCCCUCCUGACCCACUGCCCUUCAGGUCUGACAGGGGCCACAGGAGGCCUUCCCUCCACUGGGACCAGAAUUUGUCUGUUCUUGUGAGUAUGGAGCUUUUGUCUCCUGAGCCCCGCUACUUCCAUGUUCUUGGUUAACUCCUUGGCUGGGGGGCUCACUUCCCUGCAGCUUCCUUGGAGGGGUGCCUGGAGGGCGUCUCUCCAGAGGACUUGCCAUAUCUGCAAACGUCUCCACUCCCAGCUCACCGGCCAGCUGCCC